AGGGUAUGGCUGUUCGCCAUUUAAAGUGGUACGCGAGCUGGGUUUAGAACGUCGUGAGACAGUUCGGUCCCUAUCUGCCGUGGGCGCUGGAGAAUUGAGGGGGGCUGCUCCUAGUACGAGAGGACCGGAGUGGACGCAUCACUGGUGUUCGGGUUGUCAUGCCAAUGGCACUGCCCGGUAGCUAAAUGCGGAAGAGAUAAGUGCUGAAAGCAUCUAAGCACGAAACUUGCCCCGAGAUGAGUUCUCCCUGAGACUUUAAGUCUCCUGAAGGAACGUUAAAGACGAUGACGUUGAUAGGCCGGGUGUGUAAGCGCAGCGAUGCGUUGAGCUAACCGGUACUAAUGAACCGUGAGGCUUAACCUUACAACGCCGAAG
rnacentral:rRNA from 1 species